rnacentral:rRNA from 1 species
AUUGAACGCUGGCGGCAUGCUUUACACAUGCAAGUCGAACGGUAACAGGCCUUCGGGUGCUGACGAGUGGCGAACGGGUGAGUAAUGCAUCGGAACGUGCCCAGAGGUGGGGGAUAACGCAGCGAAAGCUGUGCUAAUACCGCAUGUGAUCUGAGGAUGAAAGCGGGGGACCAGGCAGCAAUGUUUGGCCUCGCGCCUUUGGAGCGGCCGAUGUCAGAUUAGGUAGUUGGUGGGGUAAAGGCCUACCAAGCCGACGAUCUGUAGCUGGUCUGAGAGGACGACCAGCCACACUGGGACUGAGACACGGCCCAGACUCCUACGGGAGGCAGCAGUGGGGAAUUUUGGACAAUGGGCGCAAGCCUGAUCCAGCAAUGCCGCGUGCGGGAAGAAGGCCUUCGGGUUGUAAACCGCUUUUGUACGGAACGAAAAGGCUCUGGCAAAUACCUGGGGCUGAUGACGGUACCGAAAGAAUAAGCACCGGCUAACUACGUG